rnacentral:rRNA from 1 species
UACGAAGGGGGCUAGCGUUGCUCGGAAUCACUGGGCGUAAAGGGCGCGUAGGCGGCUUGUCAAGUCACUUGUGAAAUCUCUGGGCUUAACCCAGAACGGCCAAGUGAAACUGACAUGCUAGAGUGCAGAAGGGGCAAUCGGAAUUCUUGGUGUAGCGGUGAAAUGCGUAGAGUAUCAAGAGGAACACCUGAGGUGAAGACGGGUUGCUGGGCUGACACUGACGCUGAUGCGCGAAAGCCAGGGGAGCAAACGGG